AUUGAACGCUGGCGGCAGGCCUAACACAUGCAAGUCGAACGGUAACAGGAAGCAGCUUGCUGCUUCGCUGACGAGUGGCGGACGGUUGAGUAAUGUCUGGGAAACUGCCUGAUGGAGGGGGAUAACUACUGGAAACGGUAGCUAAUACCGCAUAACGUCGCAAGACCAAAGAGGGGGACCUUAGGGCCUCUUGCCAUCGGAUGUGCCCAGAUGGGAUUAGCUAGUAGGUGGGGUAACGGCUCACCUAGGCGACGAUCCCUAGCUGGUCUGAGAGGAUGACCAGCCACACUGGAACUGAGACACGGGCCAGACUCCUACGGGAGGCAGCAGUGGGGAAUAUUGCACAAUGGGCGCAAGCCUGAUGCAGCCAUGCCGCGUGUAUGAAGAAGGCCUUCGGGUUGUAAAGUACUUUCAGCGGGGAGGAAGGGAGUAAAGUUAAUACCUUUGCUCAUUGACGUUACCCGCAGAAGAAGCACCGGCUAACUCCGUG
rnacentral:rRNA from 1 species